UCGAAAGCCUGUCCCAGUUCGGACUGGAGUCUGCAACCCGACUCCACGAAGUUGGAUUCGCUAGUAAUCGCGCAUCAGCCAUGGCGCGGUGAAUACGUUCCCGGGCCUUGUACACACCGCCCGUCAAGCCAUGGGAGCCGGGGGCGCCUGAAGUCCGGGACCGCGAGGACCGGCCUAGGGCGAAACUGGUAACUGGGGCUAAGUCGUAACAAGGUAAC
rnacentral:rRNA from 1 species